rnacentral:rRNA from 1 species
UACGGGGGGGGCAAGCGUUGUUCGGAAUUACUGGGCGUAAAGCGCGCGUAGGCGGCUUUUCAAGUCAGACGUGAAAUCCUUAGGCUUAACCUGAGAACUGCGUUUGAUACUGUUGGGCUAGAGUGUGGAAGGGGCUACUAGAAUUCCGUGUGUAGCGGUGAAAUGCGUAGAUAUCAGGAGGAACACCAAUGGCGAAGGCAGCUCACUGGGACGGUAUUGACGCUGAGACGCGAAAGCGUGGGGAGCAAACAGG